rnacentral:rRNA from 1 species
UACGUAGGGGGCAAGCGUUGUCCGGAAUCAUUGGGCGUAAAGCGCGUGUAGGCGGCUUGGUAAGUCCGCUCUGAAAACCCGGGGCUCAACCCCGGGCCUGCAGUCGAUACGGGCAGACUAGAGUGCGGUAGGGGAGACUGGAAUUCCUGGUGUAGCGGUGAAAUGCGCAGAUAUCAGGAGGAACACCGGUGGCGAAGGCGGGUCUCUGGGCCGUAACUGACGCUGAGGAGCGAAAGCGUGGGGAGCGAACAGG